rnacentral:rRNA from 1 species
CCCUUAGAUGUUCUGGGCCGCACGCGCGCUACACUGACGAAUGCAACGAGCUUAUAACCUUGGCCGAAAGGUCUGGGUAAUCUCCAAAUUUCGUCGUGAUGGGGAUAGAUUAUUGCAAUUAUUAAUCUUCAACGAGGAAUGCCUAGUAAGUGCAAGUCAUAAGCUUGCGCUGACUACGUCCCUGCCCUUUGUACACACCGCCCGUCGCUACUACCGAUUGAAUGAUUUAGUGAGGACUUCGGACUGGGACCGAUGCGGCUUUCGGGCUGCGUCGGUAUUCUGGAAAGAUGUCCAAACUGUAUCAUUUAGAGGAAGUAAAANUCGUANCA